rnacentral:sRNA from 1 species
UGCCACAUUGUGAGAUUCCCAGAGUGAAAUGUAUAGGCCCAGGGAAAAGUGUCUUCUCGGCCCCGAGACGCGGGGAGGCUCUAGACUUUCCUGUGGUGGGCACAGCUGCUGAAUCCCGGGGACCGGCGCGGAGCCAAUACUCUUGCAAGCUGGAUGCCCUCUGUGGAUGAAAGAUGUAUCAUGGAAUGAACCCGAGCAAUGGAGAUGGAUUUCUAGAGCAGCAGCAGCAGCAGCAACCUCAGUCCCCCCAGAGACUCUUGGCUGUGAUCCUGUGGUUUCAGCUGGCGCUGUGCUUCGGCCCUGCACAGCUCACGGGCGUACACUUGACCCUCUGGUCAAGUGUUUGAGGGUUGCCCAGAGUGCCCCCCACCCCCAGGCUUCAAGGAAGAGAGCCAAGAGUUUGCUCAACAAGUGACUCCUUUAAGGUCUCUGACUCAUGCAAACCCCUGGUCCAGCGGCCUUCUCUGCAUACCCAAGUCAUGGUCCUAGUGCAGCUGAAUUGAGCUCCUGGAGCCCUCAUUUGGUUCAUGUCGCUGUAGUGCUGUGCUCUGUGCCAGCAGGUGGAAACAGAUGCUUUCUGACUGACUCACUGAUUUGUAGAUGUUAAGUCCCUUGGUUUUAUUGAGAAACAUUUUCUUACAUGGUAGAGUGAAAGCUUUUCAUUCAAUGCUACAUCUAAAAUUCACAAUUUCAAACUGCACUUAAUCGGUACACAAAGUCCCA